UAUAAAGCAAGAAACAUCUGUGUGAGUGCGAGUAUGUGGCUUGCAUGUCUCUCUGACCGUUUGUCAGAUUGGCCUCAGCUUUUGGUUAUGGCUUGCGCAUGGAACGAUGAUGUGCAUCUUUUAAUAUGAAAUAUUUUUGG